GAUGAACGCUGGCGGCGUGCCUAACACAUGCAAGUCGAGCGAAGCACUUUUUUCAGAUUCUUCGGAUGAAGGAGAUUGUGACUGAGCGGCGGACGGGUGAGUAACGCGUGGGUAACCUGCCCCACACAGGGGGAUAACAGUUAGAAAUGGCUGCUAAUACCGCAUAAGACCACAGCACCGCAUGGCGCAGGGGUAAAAACUCCGGUGGUGUGAGAUGGACCCGCGUCUGAUUAGCUGGUUGGUAAGGUAACGGCCUACCAAGGCGACGAUCAGUAGCCGACCUGAGAGGGUGACCGGCCACAUUGGGACUGAGACACGGCCCAAACUCCUACGGGAGGCAGCAGUGGGGAAUAUUGCACAAUGGGGGAAACCCUGGUGCAGCGACGCCGCGUGAGCGAAGAAGUAUUUCGGUAUGUAAAGCUCUAUCAGCAGGGAAGAAACUGACGGUACCUGCAGAAAAAGCACCGGCUAACUACGUGCCAGCCGCCGCGGUAACAC
rnacentral:rRNA from 1 species